AGUAGUUUGAUCAGUGGCUCAAGAACGACGCUGGCGGCAUGCCUAACACAUGCAAGUCGAACGAAGCCUUCGGGCUUAGUGGCGCACGGGUGCGUAACGCGUGGGAAUCUGCCCUUGGGUUCGGAAUAACAGUUAGAAAUGACUGCUAAUACCGGAUGAUGUCUUCGGACCAAAGAUUUAUCGCCCAAGGAUGAGCCCGCGUAGGAUUAGGUAGUUGGUGGGGUAAUGGCCCACCAAGCCGACGAUCCUUAGCUGGUCUGAGAGGAUGAUCAGCCACACUGGGACUGAGACACGGCCCAGACUCCUACGGGAGGCAGCAGUGGGGAAUAUUGGACAAUGGGCGAAAGCCUGAUCCAGCAAUGCCGCGUGAGUGAUGAAGGCCUUAGGGUUGUAAAGCUCUUUUACCAGGGAUGAUAAUGACAGUACCUGGAGAAUAAGCUCCGGCUAACUCCGUG
rnacentral:rRNA from 1 species